AAGUUAGCGUAGUAUCACUGCUGCCUAACACUAAACAAGAUCUCUCUCUCAGGCCCCCGACCCCGAUGGUUUCCUCGCACACCCAUCACAUGGCCGCCUCCUCCCCUUCCACCUCCUCCCCUAAUGGCAGAUGCUAGGCGGCGGCGCCCCUCUUGAGAAGUGAAAGGGAAAGAUUUGUUUUGCCGCCCGCGCCCUGCUCAGGCGCUCCGCCUCGGUCGGGCCACACAAGGUAGCGCCUUCCGCCUCGUUGCCUGACCCAUUCCUGUUUCGUUCGAAGCACUGAAGCAGCCCCAGACCGACGCCAGGCGCCCAGGCCAGUGGUCGACGCCUGUGGUGAGCUGAUAGGCGAUGUCGUCACCGUCUCCGGUGCUGGCAAGGGCUGCGCGUCUCACGUGUAGGUUGUGAUCUUUCUGCCCAGAGAUGUGCGAUUUGUCUUCGCUUGAUCUGAGUGACAGUAAAACGGAGACCGGCUAGUGUUGUUCCUGAAACCUGUUGAUUUAUGGGGAGCCAGACAAUCGCAUCACAGGCUGGGGGAGGUGGAAGAGGCAUGGGUAGUAGUGGUGGUGCCGGUGCAGCGCAACGCGGGCAGAUGCAGAGUCUGGCAAGACAAGGGUCUCUGUAUAACCUUACCCUUGAUGAGGUGCAGAGCCAUUUGGGAGAACCCCUACACAGCAUGAACCUUGAGGAGCUGCUGAAGAGUGUCUUUCCUGAUGACCUGGACCCUGAUGGUGGCACUACCAGCCAAUAUGAGCAGAGUUCGGGCCUCUUGCGACAGGGAAGUAUCACAAUGCCGCCUGAGCUCAGCAGGAGAACUGUGGACGAGGUGUGGAAGGACAUCCAGGAUGCACCAAACAGAAAUGUUGGGGAGAGUGGUCGGCGGAAGCGGGAGCGGCAGCCAACGCUUGGAGAGAUGACGCUUGAGGAUUUCUUGGUGAAAGCUGGGGUUGUCGCCGAAGGAUAUCUGAAGGACUUGAAUGGCAUAGGCAGUGUGGAACAGGUUGGUAGCACUGGGGCUGCGGGUUUGACAGCAGGGGCACAAUGGUUAGACCACUAUCAGCAGCGGAUUACAGCUAUCGAGCCCCAUCAGCACAGGCAACAUAGUUUGCCAGGUGCUUACAUACCGGGUCAGUUAAGCCUUCAGUCCCUGAAUGUUGGACCAAGUGCUAUUUUGGAGUCAUACUCUGAUGGCCACAUUUCUUCACCGAUGAUGGGUGCACUUUCUGAUUCUCCGAUGCCUGGUAGAAAGCGUGGUUCCCCAGGAGAUGUGGCUGAUAAGUUGGUGGAGAGAAGGCAGAAGAGGAUGAUCAAGAAUAGGGAGUCAGCUGCUCGUUCAAGGGCUAGGAAGCAGGCAUACACUAAUGAACUGGAAAACAAGGUUUCUCGAUUAGAAGAGGAGAAUAAGAAGCUAACCACGUUAAAGCGACAUAUAUAUCCGAACGGGAACGGAGGUAGUAUUUUGUGAUAUUAUUAGAGAAUGGGCAGAAGCAAUUUCCUGACAUCGUAUUCUGACAAUCAAUUUCUCAUGUGCCAAUAAAUAAAUAAAAACCAAGAUACUGGUGUGCUGAUCCAAAUGCUAAGAUAGUUGGCCUGAUUUCUUGGUUCUUUAAUUUAGAUCAAUACAGCUCCCAUGGAGUUGGAAAAUAUACUUUUCUCUGAGCCUCUUCCGGAACCCAAGUACCAACUGAGGAGAACCGGCUCAGCGACUUUCUGAUUGUAUGCAGAAUAUCUUGUUUUGCUGUAGGUUGUAAGUCCUGUAGCUUGUAAGUUUUUUUGUCUCUUUGGUUUAGAAUCAUUUGCUAGCUUGGGAGUUUUUGUUUAUCCUAGCUCGAUGGUUUGCUCUCUCCCUCCCUCCCUUUCUCUAGACUAGCAGGAGCCGAGCAUGUGCUGUCCGAGGCCUUGCUACCAGUAUAGUAUGUAAAAUCUUCAGGACACAUGUAGGUGGUCGGAGCUUGUUUACAUGGUGUGACUUAACAGAUGGAUACAUAUAACUAUGAGAAGUAUGGGAGCCCUUUCUUUGGUAACCGGAGUUAAAUGACUUGACUCUUCU